GACGAACCGAGCGACCGUUGUUCGGAAUCACUGGGCUUAAAGGGCGCGUAGGCGGGCUGUCAAGUCUGGGGUGAAAUCCCGCGGCUCAACCGCGGAACUGCCUCAGAUACUGACGGUCCCGAGGGAGGUAGGGGCGAGCGGAACUGAUGGUGGAGCGGUGAAAUGCGUUGAUAUCAUCAGGAACUCCGGUGGCGAAGGCGGCUCGCUGGACCUCUUCUGACGCUGAGGCGCGAAAGCCAGGGGAGCAAACGGG
rnacentral:rRNA from 1 species